GCCCCAAACGACCUCCUCUGUCUCGACCCAGGCAUGGUACCAGGCACAGGCACAGAUCGGCGAGCGUUCCUCCCUCCUCUUGCUACCGAUAAUAGAUGGCCACGCAGCAGCACCAUGUCCUCUUCGAUGUCCUUCACCGAGCUGCUGGCGAGCGUUCAUGGAGUUGUUGUGACAUCCCUGAGAAGGUCUACUCUUUGAUGUGAAUGUCGACACUGCAGUACAGCGCCAUGCCUUAAAGCACUGUUCACAGCGGCGCCAUGAUUCCUGGAAUGAGCAACGAUAUCACCCAGAUGCAGACCUUCUCUAGUUCUCCCAAGCCGCGCACUCCAGAAAAAAUGGAGCAGUCCUGGAACGGAGGCUUUCGAAGUCCGAGAAGGGACAAGGUUAGCCAAGAGAAAUGUUUCCUUAGUUUUGCCACAUUCUCAAGUCAAAUUUGGCGAGCUCUUUUACACUGAUUGUCGAGUACUUCUCAGUACUCCCGGGGAAUUAAUUUUGUCCGUUGGAUUUUUGGAUUACCUCGCGUUCCGGUCUUCCGGAAUCUCAGCCCGCACAUGAGGGAAGAAACUGUCAUGAACCAGACCGUUAAUUACUGAAGAAUUCGACAGCAGUUCAAAUUCAGUUAUCGUGCGGCUCAGAGGAGAAGAUACCACUUCACUUUAAGAAGAUCCUGCGGCUCUGGUUGAAUUCGGCAACGCUUCGUUACUUCGUCCGCGAGCUGUCUGACGGACUGUUCUCUCUGAAGAUGUCACUGUCGCCGUCCAGUUCAUUGUUUCUGUUUACUUUUCCGUUGAUCCUUGCUAUAAAAGGCUUGCCCUCUGUUGAGUCAUGUAUCCAGAUAUUUGCUAAGUAAAUGAAACCCUAGCCGCCAUCGAGCGCAUCUCAUCCCCUUCUCUGUUUUCUCAUCCCAAUUCCUCUGAUUAUCUCAUCCCAAAUUCUCAAAUCCUGAAAUUGAUCGAUUUACGGUUGAUUUUAGUAAUUAGGUCAUCACAAUAUGGUAUCAGAGCACUGAUUCUUGGCCUCUUCCUCGUGUUUCUGGGACAGAUCUGACUCGGGUUGGAGGGCAGGUUCCGCUGUAAAAUUCCAAGGUCAAUUUGUUCAGAUUCAGAGUUAGAGGGAACUGUGGAGGCAAUUGUGGAUUCAGAUCAAGUUUGGUUGGACUAGCUCCUUGCUUUUCCAGUAAAAUCCCAAUCUUGUUGCUGGAUCCAUAGAGGAGAUGGGCAAGACCAAACUUGCGAGUGGAGGCGAGGAGGGAGUGAUCACAGAUGAGUACAUGACCAGGGAGGAUUUCCAUAAUUUCCACUCUGAAGUCCAGAAGAAGUUCGAUGAUCUCACCAGGGAACAUCAUGAGUUGGUAAAGGCACAGAGUGAGUCCAGGGAAAAUCUUGAAAAGGGAAAGUCUCUACUCAAGUCUUCGACUAACCUAGGCACUUGGGGGCUACUGACGUGGUUAUGACUAACCACGUACUCGACUCGAGUAUACCCGUUACGGCCUGGCUGGGGGCCCACAAGGAAGCCUACUACGACUCCAGGAGUAUACAUGCCAAAUCUUGCAACUCAAGAUAAUGAAGAUUAAUUAGAGUAUUGUCAAGAAAUAGAAUAGCUUCUUUUUCUACAUGUGGAAUGCAUUUCUGAUGUAAAUUUGAUGGCCUAACUGUUGAUGAUUUCCAAAUGCAAGUUACAAAAGUGUGCCAACCGGUAAUAUGUGUUGCCCUCUGUUUUGUCACUUUAUUCUAUUCUUACUGAUAAAGGGAAGAAAAAGUGAUGAAAGGUUGUACUUGUACAUACAGAAGGGAAAUAUGAGAGAAGUAA